CUCACUGGUGGUCCUAAUAUUGCAUGGAGAGUCCUCUAGUGGACCUUGGCGGUGUCCACCGACUCUGCACCCAAGCCUGAUAGAUGGACACAAUCACACAUGAUUCUUACCCAUUUGGCAUGGACAGCACACAGCCCGAGCUGCCAUCUCAGUUGAACCGUUCCUCUCGAGCUGCUGGUUGGCCCACAACAC